GGGGACGACAUGGUUUCGACGGGGGUCGAGGCAUCGAGAGCGGCAUACCGUGGUCGUCUGGCCCUCGUUAAUCAGCCGGGCAACAAAUUUAAACGCAGACAAUUAUGCGUAUGCUUUGGCUGCCUAAUUAAUACUUAGGUAACCCGCUUAUCCCAACUGCGCCACCCACGCGGGAAUAAGCGCCAGCUCUGGUGGCUGGCCGCGGGCACCGCCUGGAUGCCCGGGGCGAGAUUCACAGGCUGGCGGCGAACGACCCUUGUCGAGUGAGGUCGCCGCCGCGAGAUCGAUCAAGCGACUAUGUAUGUAGAUGUUCUCCUUGACUGGCCUUCGGACGCGGGUUCGAUUCCCGCCGUCUCCACCC
rnacentral:tmRNA from 1 species